GCAGCGAGCGGCCGCCGCACCUCCCGCCGGCCGCGGCCCCGCACGGCCGCCCCCCGCCCGCCAACCCCUGUCCCGCCGCCGUCUUUCCCCCCCAGCGAGAGUUCGCGCACAGCCCGGCGCCCCAUUCCGCUCCACUCAGGGAGAGAGGGAGCCCCGGGCCAGCCGGCAGGACUCACACGGGGUAGAAGGCGUAGGGCGGCAGGGCGCUCUCCUCGCACGGCUCCGCGUCGAGCAGCAGAUCUGCCAGACCGUGGGGUCAACGACUGCCUGAGCCAGAGAGACUCGUGUCACCCACCAAUCUGCAAGAGAAGGUGGUACAGAAAGAGACACACAGCUCACUGGAGUUAUGACAGUAUUUCCAUGGUCUUUAGGCGAGGUUCAGAAAUACCUACAGGCAAAGAAUUCUGCCUGGAUACACUUGUGAAACUGAAAUGAAAAUUUUAAUCUCUGUCAAAAAUUACAGCUGGGCUUUUUUUCUGCAAGGAGAGCUCAAUGAGGAGGUGGACUCACAUGGCUGGUGGAUAUCGACACCCAAAUGAGAGUAUGAGGACUGGAUCACAGAAACAGUAGAAACGUUUUCAAAAGUUGUCCACAAUGUCUUGGCUAUGAAGACCCCAGGGUGUGCAGGGCAGGAGAUACUGAAGGACUUCUGCACUGGAGGAGAG